rnacentral:rRNA from 1 species
UACGUAGGGGGCAAGCGUUAUCCGGAAUUACUGGGCGUAAAGCGCACGCAGGCGGUUCGCCAAGUUUGGAGUGACAGUUGUCGGCUCAACCGGACAAAGGGCUUCAAAAACUGGUGAACUUGAGGACGAGAGAGGAACAUGGAACUCCGAGGUGUAGUAGUGAAAUGCGUAGAUAUCUGGAAGAACACCAAUGGCGAAGGCAAUGUUCUGGCUCGUUUCUGACGCUCAGGUGCGAAAGCCAGGGAGCGAACGGG